GCCACUGCUGAUUGACAUUGCACAUUGUUCCAUAGUUUGUUGUCUAUAACAAUUCCCAAGUCCUUUUCGUGUGUUGUUAUCCCUAAUUCGCUUCCAUUAAGGGUAUACGUUGCUUGUGUAUUCUUUACGCCGAAGUGCAUAACUUUGCAUUUUUCAACCUUAAAUUUCAUCUGCCAUUUGAGUGCCCAGUCCCUCAGUCUAUCUAAAUCCCUCUGCAGCAAAGUAAUAUCUUGCUCACAUUGUAUUAUUUUACAAAGUUUUGUGUCAUCU